rnacentral:siRNA from 1 species
CACCUUUUCCAGACAACGUG